rnacentral:rRNA from 1 species
AAAAAAGAGGGAGGGAACGUGAGGCCUAAUGCAAUGAUGAGAGAAUUUCAUAAUUGCUUAGGAGAAUGCGGUCUGGAAGAUAUGGCCUAUAUUGGUGGUCUCUUCACUUGGAGAAGAGGCGAGAUUAGAGAGAGACUUUAUCGUGGAGUUUGUAAUGUGGAGUGGGCGAAUAAAUUCCCUUGGGAUGCAAACAUAAACGAAGAACAUGUCCACUCUGAUCAUCGACCCCUCGUCUUGGAUACAGAAUAUUAUGACAGUCACAUGUUUAAUCAACCUGGAAGACAAGUGAAACAAUUUGAAGCUCGUUGGAUCACAGAAGAGACAGUGGUAGAAAUUGUAUGUACAGCAUGGGAAAAAGAGAAGAUGUUAGGCAUUGGACCGUCUCUCACUAAGUGUACAAGGGCGAUGCAUGCGGAUUUGCAUACAUGGGAUCGUGAUAUACUAAGGGGUCGAAAAGAAGAAUUAAAAGAACUCAAAAAAGAUGUAGAAAAUUUGCGAAGAGGACCUAUGAAUGCGCAAACUCAAGCACAGCAAAAGGAUACCCUAGUCCUUAUUGAAAAUCUUUUGGAACAAGAAGAAAUAUACUGA